rnacentral:rRNA from 1 species
AUCAGCUCACGGCCUAUCAGCUAGUUGGUGAGGUAAUGGCUCACCAAGGCGACGACGGGUAGCCGGCCUGAGAGGGUGACCGGCCACACUGGGACUGAGACACGGCCCAGACUCCUACGGGAGGCAGCAGUGGGGAAUAUUGCACAAUGGGCGCAAGCCUGAUGCAGCAACGCCGCGUGAGGGACGAAGGCCUUCGGGUUGUAAACCUCUUUUAGCAGGGAAGAAGCGAAAGUGACGGUACCUGCAGAAAAAGCACCGGCUAACUACGUGCCAGCAGCCGCGGUAAUACGUAGGGUGCAAGCGUUGUCCGGAAUUAUUGGGCGUAAAGAGCUC